rnacentral:tRNA from 1 species
GAGGGUGUAGCUCAGGGGCAGAGUGUGCCCUUAGCAUGCUCAAGGUCCUGGGUUCAAUCCCCAGUACCUCCA